CACAGCCCCACUUCCCCAAAGCCUUCCCUUUUAGAAAAAGGGCGAUAAUAAUAAUAAUUAAUAAUUAAGAUGCCCAUAAUAAUAGCUACCAAUUAUUGAGAGCUGCCGGUGCCCCAGGCCCUGUGCAAGCACUGCUUUACAAACUUCAAUUACUCAUCACGAUACUCAUAUGAAAUAGGACAUUUUACAACCUUUGCUUUAUAGAUAAGGAAACAGGACCCUUAAACGACUUGAUCAACUAGAAAGCAACAGAUUCUCCAAGUUAUCUACAAUCCCGAAUGGGACCCCAAGAACAGCUCUCCCAGAUCCAGGCCACUGCCCCUCUCACAGGCAUGUCCCCUUAUCAAAUCCCUGCCCAAGUCAACCACCUUCUGGUUGGAGGUCAGGCUGAGCCUGCAAGAGAGGGAAAUUACAAACAAACAAGAAACCCACAGUGCCGGAGGAAUGUGCCUGUGCUAAAGGGUAUCCUGCUGAAGGAAAUGGUAAAUAUCACCAUUUUUUCUCCUAUGGAGUUCCAAAUUCAGGGCACCAGAGUCAGGGUGGAGCCACAAGAGAACAAGACCUGGCUUCCUCACUCAGGCUCCACCCUCUCUUCCUCAGGCCGGUGAGAUGAGUGUCAGUUACUCAUGCUGUCAUUGUCUGAAGCAUCUAAGGGACAGACUUUGGCCUCAGUCAGGAACACACAGGCCCAAGGAUGCCCAGAGGAUCCCACAUCAAGGAAAGAAGCAGCAGUGUCCUUCUCACCAUCAAGAUCCAACUGCUCGGGACUGGUGAGAUGGCUCAGAGGUUAAGAGCACCGACUGCUCUUCCAGAGGUCCUGAGUUCAAUUCCCAGCAACCACAUGGUGGCUCACAAGCAUUCGUUAUGAGACCUGGUGCCCUCUUCUGGUGUGCAGAUAUACAUGGAAGCAGAAUGUUGUAUACAUAAUAAAUAAAUAAAAUCUUUAAACAAACAAACAAAAAGAUCCAACUGCUCCCUCUCAGGAAACUGUCACUGACCCUGCUACAGGGACAACUUUCCCUAAGAGUCAUU